UGAUAGCGAUGAAGCGUGAGGUUGCCACGCAUAUGCGUGGGUUUUCCGUGGAGCGAAUGUCAAGUUAGCAAACUGGCGACAA
rnacentral:ncRNA from 1 species